UACGAAGGGGGCUAGCGUUGCUCGGAAUUACUGGGCGUAAAGGGCGCGUAGGCGGCACUGUUAGUCAGGCGUGAAAUUCCUGGGCUCAACCUGGGGACUGCGCUUGAUACGGCAGAGCUUGAGGAUGGAAGAGGGUCGCGGAAUUCCCAGUGUAGAGGUGAAAUUCGUAGAUAUUGGGAAGAACACGGUGGCGAAGGCGGCGACCUGGUCCGAUUACUGACGGCUGAGGCGCGACAGCGGUAGGGGAGCAAACAGG
rnacentral:rRNA from 1 species